rnacentral:lncRNA from 1 species
UUAAAAUUCAGACUCCUCUUGGGGUUUCUUGUCCUAAUUGAGCUCGAGAGUCCUAGGGGCCAACGUCUACUUGAUUUUAUUAGGUCAUGGUCAUGCAAAAUGCAAAUUGGGUUGUUUGUGGGCCAAGGAAGGGUGAUGAAAUUCCCACCUUAUCUUGUUACAGGUUGUGCCCUUAAUGUUAGAUUAAAGAUGAAAAUGCACAAAUAAAAAAAACUAUAAACAAAUAAAAUGUCC